AGCGAACGCUGGCGGCAGGCCUAACACAUGCAAGUCGAACGGACCCUUCGGGGUUAGUGGCGGACGGGUGAGUAACACGUGGGAACGCGCCUUUAGGUUCGGAAUAGCUCCUGGAAACGGGUGGUAAUGCCGAAUGUGCCCUUCGGGGGAAAGAUUUAUCGCCUUUAGAGCGGCCCGCGUCUGACUAGCUAGUUGGUGAGGUAAAGGCUCACCAAGGCUACGAUCAGUAGCUGGUCUGAGAGGAUGGCCAGCCACAUUGGGACUGAGACACGGCCCAAACUCCUACGGGAGGCAGCAGUGGGGAAUCUUGCGCAAUGGGCGAAAGCCUGACGCAGCCAUGCCGCGUGUAUGAUGAAGGUCUUAGGAUUGUAAAGUACUUUCACCGGUGAAGAUAAUGACUGUAGCCGGAGAAGAAGCCCCGGCUAACUUCGUGCCAGCCGCCGCUGUAA
rnacentral:rRNA from 1 species